AGGUCUCUUCUAUAGACUUUGGUUGUAUAAUGUAUGCUGGGAAAUACAUAUUAAACAAGAGAUGACUUGUAUUCAUGAC